rnacentral:tRNA from 1 species
GCUCUAGUCAUCUCAGUUGGUAGAGCAUGAGACUCUUAAUCUCAGGGUUGUGGGUUCUAGCCCCACGUUGGACA